rnacentral:lncRNA from 1 species
CAGAGGAGCCGCGUCUGCGGGGCGGGGUCAGGGCACGUGACCACUGUCCGGCCGGAAGUGGUGGGCGGGGCCUCGGGCACGGGGGCGGGCCCAGUGCGGGAGGUCGCUGUCGGGUCGGGAGGGACAGGUCGCGACCCCGCCGUUCCCAGACGCAGUGUGGUCCACGGCCGUCGAUGAUGUCGUGACAGGCCCUGGAGUCUCGGAUGCGACCCGAGCUAUCCGGCCGUGGGCCGUUUGGAAACCCAGAGAAGAGUGACGUGGCUUUGCCCAGACGGCACCCGAGCAGUCCUGGCUUUCUGGAAGUCUGACCCUGGCAGCCCUUCCAGAAUGGCCAUUGGUUUGGAUAUUGGGACUGAGCUCUUUGAAGUGGCACCGUGAGGAACCGGAGGGAGGCUCGAGGGCAAGGGAGAGCACCACGAAAUGUCAGUGCCCCACGUUGGCAGGGAGUCCCGGGCCGAGUUCUUGCACCGUAACCAGUUUGCACGCGGACGGGCUCACGAUCACACCUGGGGUUGCCUGGCGACACCGUUCAGGAAGGACGCUCCCACUGGAAAGCCAGCGUGGUGUCGUCUUACACAUUCCUUCACGAGCUCUGGGACUCUGGGGAAACAGGAAAUACCAGUGGACCAUCAUUGCUUCCGUACCUGCUGAGUCAAAACCGUACUGCAAGAUGGCUUCUUGGAAUGCUUAAGUAACUUCUUUUUAGAAGUAGUAGCUAGGUAUAGAUAUUUCAAAGGAAGGAAAGCAAUCUUGGUGCUGAAACAAAGCUGAGCCUUUCAGGCGGAUCUUACAAACGAGCAAACAAAACCCCCAGAAAAGAAACAAGGCUUAGGGACUUCAACACACAUCUUGGUAGAGGCAGGUCCAAAUAGGGGUGCCCAUCUUUGGAUUAACAAGAUUGCCUCCAUGAUUGAUCUUCCCAAGCCCUGUGGUGCCAAGGAGUUGGAUUUUAAUGGAGGGUCAUAUUGUCGAGCCCAUCUUGAAGUUAUGAAGGAAGACGAGUGCUAAGAAAGCAAAAUGAAGAAGUAAAAUCCAAUGUGACUUCUCUUGAUGGUCCUUUGUGUCAGCAUGCUAGGAGAGCUUUGGGUUUGGAAAGAAGUGUGAAGAAUAAGUGGCCGAUAAUCGAAGUUCUUCGUUUGUUAAUGAGUUAACUACUGGACUGUGAGUUCCUUUAGAGCAGAGACUGAGUCUUAUUUUUCUUUGUGUCCCUAGAAUUUGGCUUAUAGUAAGUACGAAGGAAACUUGCGUUGAAUUGAAUAAUGACAAAUUGGGAUAAUUCCUGGAUUAUGGUAAGAUAAAAGAAUUUGACAAAAUUGCAAUAUUGAAGAUUAUCGUUUUCAGACAAAAUGUUUCAACCCAUAUAGGAAAGCACCCACUUGGCUGUGUUGCUGUUACUGUUGAAAUGCUAUUAUGAAGCAAGACCAAGACAUGCCAACACAUCUAUGUGGCCCAACAUGGGUGUGUUGAGUGUUUUAGUUUAGUGAUGCUUGUAAAAAUCAAGGAUAUAGCAUCAACCUUUGGGAAUGGGGAUGGUUUGACUCACCCAGUAUCAGUGGUACUUGUGUUUUGAAUAUUUUUAAAAAUCUGAAAUGGGUAUGUUGAUUCCUCCAAAUUCCAGUUGGCUCUUCCAAUGAUUAUAAAUAGUGAAAACAGGGUUAUUGGCUCAAAUAGAAGGUGCAUUCCAAGGUUUGGUCCAAAGACCACAGAAGGCCAAAGUAAGAAGACAUGGUUCUAGUUCUCUCUCUUUUACUGGUUGAGUAACUUUAGGCAACUCACUUAUUUCUGGGGGCAUGGAAGAGAAAGAUGACGCAGACCCUGUCAAGUCCACUGUUACAUGGUCCACACUCACCCUGGACUUCAUCAUCUAAGCAUUUUAUCACAGUUGCUUUUAAAUCAGUGUAAUUAUUUGUCUGUCUUUUCCACUAGAAUAAAACCUCUACUGAGACAGGCACGGUGUUUAUCUGGUUUGUUGCACAAUGCCUCGCAUUUUGUUGACUCUCAAUAUUUGUGAAAUGAAUGGAUGAGAAUGACUUUGCCCAAAUUGGAUGGGAAAAGACUCUCAGAGAUAAAAAGAAAAAUCCACCUACUCUGGUUGUGCCUAGCUUUGCGUAUGAGACUGUCACCUAAAUAAGCCAUCCCACCGUGGGAUUUGGAGGUACAUUACUGAUGGCAUUGAAAUGCCUCCUCUUUUGCUAUUACCAACUAGAAGCCACUCUAAAAUGAAGUUGAAUCAGUAAGGAGAGUCUAGGUUAUGCUUCAGUAACAAACUUCAAAAUCUCAGUGGCUUACGACAAUAAAGGUUGUUUCUCCCAUGAACAUGAGCACUCGUGUCACAUGAAUGUUGCUGGUAGGGUGUGCCUCUGCUACACGUCUUCACUUUUCAGCUAAAGCUGAUAGAACAGUCUGUGUCCCCAACAUUAGACAUUAUGGAGGCAAAGAGAAAAGAGAGUGUGGCAGAACGCGAAUUGUCUUUUAAAGCUUCUGCCUCUAGUGAUUUGCAUUAGUUUUUUUCUCACAUUUAAUUGGCCAAAGGAAGCCAAGUAGUCAAGCAUGGACCAAGUGGAAGAGAAAUAUAAUCCACCACCAGGGAGAAACAGCAAAUAUUUUGAAACAGUGAUAUGAUUUUUCAAAGAAACCAAGAGAGAAAAAUAUAUGUGUGAGGAAUGUUGUACGGUUGACUUUUGCCCUAAAGGAUAUGGCAUGGGUGGUUUCCAGUACUCGUUAACUACCCUAAAGAUCCUUGGCAUCUGGUCAUUUGUACUUUGGGGAAGACUCAUUCCCGUCCCAGGAUCCGCACUGUGUCUUUAUCUCUGAGGCUGAAAUAACUCAUAGCAGUAACUCUUUGUGCAUGAGAUAUUCUCCAUCUACAGAUUUCCCAAGCCCCCAGACCAGACCUUUCCCAAUGUCAAGCAUCCACUGGAAUUUCAAGUGCAGACUAAAGAGGAUAUCAGCAUGAAAUCUGAAAAUAAAGGAGAGUUGUUAAGACUGUCCAGCACAGACCAAGGAAUAAAGAUACUCCUUGGAGCGAUGUUAAGGGAUCUGAUCAUUAGAAGGCACUCUGGGUCCCACCAUCUGACCAGUUUACCCUUCCCCUCAUACCACACCACUCCUCAUGGAGUAAUACUGUGUCCUCGUGAUGAGUGCAUGUUGGCUCUUCAGGAAGAUAAGUCCCUUGAGAGCUUACCUCCACCCUCUCAGCACCUGGUGUCUAGUAAGUACUCAGAAAAUGCUGACUGGCUCAUUGCGAGAAGGGAAGGUCCUGUUUCACCCUCAGCCAGUCAUAGUUAUGGUGUCCGAGUGCAGGCUGCUCUGUAAUUAUUCACAGGGACAUCCUGGGAC